rnacentral:tRNA from 1 species
CCGCCUGUCGUUCAACGGAUAGGACCUCGCUCUUCUAAAGCGAUCAUGGGGGUUCGAUUCCCUCCGGGCGGGCCA